GAUUACGACCAUACCGCGUUGAAAGCACGCCAUCCCGUCCGAUCUGGCAAGUUAAGCUACGACACUUGGUCAAUUGCACUUUGGUCUACUUUGCCUGAGGCAAUUUUUAAUCGGAUCGUCACAGACUCAUAAACCAAAAAUGCCUGGUGAAAUUUGAUUGCCUGGGU